rnacentral:rRNA from 1 species
GAUGAACGCUGGCGGCGUGCUUAACACAUGCAAGUCGAACGAAGCACCUUGAUUCGAUUCUUCGGAUGAAGAUCUUGGUGACUGAGUGGCGGACGGGUGAGUAACGCGUGGGUAACCUGCCUCAUACAGGGGGAUAACAGUUAGAAAUGACUGCUAAUACCGCAUAAGACCACCGCACCGCAUGGUGCAGGGGUAAAAACUCCGGUGGUAUGAGAUGGACCCGCGUCUGAUUAGGUAGUUGGUGGGGUAACGGCCUACCAAGCCGACGAUCAGUAGCCGACCUGAGAGGGUGACCGGCCACAUUGGGACUGAGACACGGCCCAAACUCCUACGGGAGGCAGCAGUGGGGAAUAUUGCACAAUGGGGGAAACCCUGAUGCAGCGACGCCGCGGGAGCGAUGAAGUAUUUCGGUAUGUAAAGCUCUAUCAGCAGGGAAGAAAAUGACGGUACCUGACUAAGAAGCACCGGCUAAAUACGU